AAGGCCUUCGGGUUGUAAACUCCUGUCAUAAGGGAAAAGGCGAGGGGACCUAAUACGUCCUUUAGUUGAUUGUACUUUAAGAGGAAGCGACGGCUAACUCUGUGCCAGCAGCCGCGGUAAUACAGAGGUCGCAAGCGUUGUUCGGAUUUACUGGGCGUAAAGGGCACGUAGGUGGCGAGGCGUGUCGAGUGUGAAAGCUCUGGGCUCAACCCAGAAAGUGCGCUCGAAACUACCUUGCUUGAGUGCGGGAGAGGGAAUCGGAAUAUAGGGUGUAGCGGUGAAAUGCGUUGAUAUCCUAUAGAACACCGGAGGCGAAGGCGGAUUCCUAGAACGCAACUGACACUAAGGUGCGAAAGUCGGGGGAGCAAACAGGAUUAGAUACCCUGGUAGUCCCGACCAUAAACGGUGCAUACUCGAGGUGGGGAGAUUUACCCUUUCUGUCUCUUAGCUAACGCGUUAAGUAUGCCGCCUGGGGAGUACGGCCGCAAGGCUAAAACUCAAAGAAAUUGACGGGGGCCCGCACAAGCAGAGGAGCAUGUGGCUUAAUUCGAUGCAACGCGAAGAACCUUACCUGGAUUUGACAUACAGCUGCGAGGCUUAUGAAAGUAGGCCGCCUUCGAGGGAGCUGUACAGGUGCUGCAUGGCUGUCGUCAGUUCGUGCCGUGAGGUGUUUGGUUAAGUCCACCAACGAACGCAACCCCUUUGAUCCGUUACCAGCGAGUAAAGUCGGGGACUCAGGUCACACUGCCUGUUUACGCAGGAGGAAGGUGGGGAUGACGUCAAGUCAGUAUGGCCCUUACAUCCAGGGCUGCACACGUGCUACAAUGGCAUAUACAGAGCGAAGCGAGACCGCGAGGUGGAGCAAACCGCUUAGAGUAUGCCUCAGUUCAGAUUGGGGUCUGCAACCCGACCCCAUGAAGUCGGAUUUGCUAGUAACGGCGUAUCAGCUACGACGCCGUGAAUGCGUUCCCGGGCCU
rnacentral:rRNA from 1 species